CAGACAGACAGACAGACAGACAGACAGACAGACAGACAGACAGACAGACAGACAGACAGACAGACAGACAGACAGACAGACAGACAGACAGAAGCUGUCCUAUAUAAAUACACCAAGUGUACAAAAUAUUAAGAACACUCCGCCUUUUGCCCCUCAGAACAACCUUAUUGUUUGGGGCAUGGACUCUACAAGGUGUCAAAUGCAUUCCACAGGGAUGCUGGUCCAUGUUGACUCCAAUGCUUCACAAAGUUGUGUCUAGUUGGCUGGAUGUCCUUUGGGUGGUGGACCAUUGUUGAUACACACUGUUGAGUGUGAAAAACCCAGCAGCGUUGCAGUUCUGAGCCUGGCACCUACUGCCAUACCCUGUUCAAAGACACUUGCCCAUUCACCCUCUGAAUGGCACACACAAUCCGUGUCUCAAUUGUCUCAAGGCUUUAAAAUCCUUCUUUAACUUGUCUCCUCCCCUUCAUCUACACAAAUUGAAGUGGAUUUAACGAGUGACAUCAAUAAGGGAUCAUAGCUUUCAACUGGAUUCACCUGGUCAGUCUAUGUCAUGGAAAGAGCAGGUGUUCAUAUUGUUUUAUACACUCAGUGUAGUUUCUCACAUAUUGGAGUUCCCCCAAAUGAAUUAGUUUGUCUGGUUUUGCAGAACAACAAGAAAUUCUAGGAAUUGGACAACCAGAAUGUUACUCAAUACACCAUAAUUAAAUGUUGCACGCAAACCAAUUUUUGUAUGACAUUUGACAUAUUCCUGUAUUUGUUUUGAGCCCCUUCCAAUGUACAACAAUGAGAUGGUUGAGUGAACAAGAGGCUUUUUAUAUCAGAUCAGAUCAAUGAAGAUAUAUCCCAUAAAGAAGAUCCAGUCUGUGCUGUGUCAAAUCACAGAAUAUAUGCCACCUCUCUAUACAAAUAGUCUUCGGCAAACACAUCUCUACACAGUGCCUCACAGAGGCAGCAUAUACAACAGACCCAGUCAUUUGUGUACUUUGAAGACACACCAGUCAGACAUCAGCGAACAGUCAGACGCAUGCCACUGGACAGGAGCCAGUUCUACCGCUGCGACUGGGUUAAACAGUGUGGAGGACCUUUGGAUGGUUUGGUCUGCUAGGGCAGUCACUCCCCUCUCUGUGUUUGCACGUGGGAUUGUCUUGAGGUCUGUGAAUGGGGAACUUGUGAGAGAAGGGUCCCCACCGAGGAGGGGGGUGGGGAUGGUCACUAACACAGCUGUUCAGCUCAAAUAGUGCCUGCUGUUGUUUGGGGACUCCUGUUGGAAGUUAGUGUGUUUAGUUGGGAGAGAGCGUUGUAAGGAGCAGCAAGGAGGGAUACUCUAUUGUUUUUCUGUGUUUUUGCUUUGCUGGGAAAGACUUUAGAGAUAAAGGAAGAGUCCAUGCUGUUUUGCUUGAAUUUCAUUUUAUUCACUUCAAACCUGUCAAAAUGGAUGAUCUUGGUAAAUGCUAUUCUACUGUAUGUAUGAUAAGUCAAGCUUACGUGAUCAUGAAAGUUUGUUUUGGGAAUCUAUGCUACAUUUUGAACUUCCUCAGUUACAGUGUGUCCCCUAUGUCUUCUGUCUCAAACCAAAAAGGGAACACAGUUAUAGUGGCCGAAAGUGAAACAUGUAGCCGUCCUUCACUGUCCGAACACCAAAUCAAAACACACCAAAUCCGAUUUUCGUGUGUUGUGUUCCCUUAAAGGCGGUCCCUGGUGCAACGAGUAACAUGCUCUGCAGGGGAAUUCGUGACACUGGCAGUUUACGGCUCUUUGGUCACGGGUUAUAAAAACUCUGAAUCAGCAUGGAGUGGAGGCUCCGGACUGGGGUCUAUCCCACAGUGCAGUGGGGUAAUGAAUGCCCCUCACAACGGUGAAGCUCUCGCCUAAGUUAUGAGGUGAGAGCAAAGGUCGUAACCUCACCCCUAUCACGUCCUCCUCCAGUGGCCUAAUUCUAAAUCCAAUUACAAUGUUUAACCUGGAUCCUUCAGCCAUAUAAACCAGAAACAGAAGUAGGGUACAACGUGUUCUACCCCCCUCUAUCACUGUGCUAUCAUUACCUUGUAAGACAGCUUUGCCUUCUCUAUCAAGACGUAACUUUGGGAAUUCCAUAGAAUACCCACAUGCACAUGUACAUAAAUCUACAUGCAUAUGUUGACACAAGCGGGUGUAUAAGCUAUUUACAGACUGGUAAUUUAUUGUUGAAAUGACCUGACGAAGGUCCUAGUGCAGGGGUUGUCAAUCUUUUCUUGCCCAGGGACCCCCUCUCAGGCAAACCGGCGACCCAGGAAACCCAUCAUACGUUAGCAAAAAAUGUGCUGUCUUGUCUUAUCAUCAGGUGAACGAUAAUGGCAAGGAGAAGUAGUCAACAUUUUAAAAUCAAUUGAUUUGGUAGAUAGUUUUCCAUUAUUUUGACCUCCCCACAUUAUAAUUGGAAGAGGAAGUGUAAACUCUAACAUAACCUAUUAGCUAGGUAACUCUAAACACAUUUUCGCUAAGAGCAGCUGUUUAGCUGGUUAAACAAAGGUUAGCCAAGUGUAGGCAAAAAUGAAUAUCCAAGUCAAGAAAGCUUACCAGCAGUCAGCGGCACUUGUCACACUGGUAGCCUAUUCACAUGUGCUUUUUCAAAGCCUAUGUCACAUACUUCAGGUGGGGGUCUGUAGCGUGACGGUCUGUAGUGGGGGUCUGUAGCUUGACUGUCUGUAGUGGGUGUCUGUAGCGUGACUGUAUGUAGUGGAUGUCUGUAAUGUGACUGUCUGUAGUGGGUGUCUGUAGCGUGACUGUCUGAGGUGGGUGUUUGUAGCGUGACUGUCUGUAGUGGGUGUCUGUAGCGUGACUGUCUGUAGUGUGUGUCUGUAGCGUGCCUGUCUGCAGUGGGUGUCUGUAGCGUGACUGUCUGAGAUGGGUGUCUGUAGCAUGACUGUCUGUAGUGGGUGUCUGUAGCGUGACUGUCUGUAGUGGGUGUCUGUAGUGUGACUGUCUGUGGUGGGUGUCUGUAGCUUGACUGUAUGUAGUGGAUGUCUGUAGCUUGACUGUCUGUAGUGGAUGUCUGUAAUGUGACUGUCUGUAGUGGGAGUCUGUAGCGUGACUGUCUGUAGUGUGUGUCUGUAGCGUGCCUGUCUGCAGUGGGUGUUUGUAGCGUGACUGUCUGAGAUGGGUGUCUGUAGCGUGACUGUCUGUAGUGUGUGUCUGUAGCGUGCCUGUCUGCAGUGGGUGUUUGUAGCGUGACUGUCCGAGGUGGGUGUCUGUAGCGUGACUGUCUGUAGUGGGUGUCUGUAGCGUGACUGUCUGUAGUGGGUGUCUGUAGCGUGACUGUCUGAGGUAGGUGUCUGUAGCGUGACUGUCCGAGGUGGGUGUCUGUAGCGUGACUGUCUGCAGUGGGUGUCUGUAGCGUGACUGUCUGUAGUGGGUGUCUGUAGCGUGACUGUCUGUAGUGGGUGUCUGUAGCGUGCCUGUCUGUAGCGUGACUGUCUGUAGUGUGAAGCAGCUUGCACCAGCCUGACCCUGUCCCCUGACUUGCAGAUAAUUCAUCUGAUUCUAUUCAGUCUGACUAUGGGUUUCAUUACGUCAACCUGGCUGUCAUUGCGUGUUAGGCAGUACUGGGCUGUAAACAUUUGAUUUGAGUGUCAUUUAUUCUGAUGCUAUGUCAAAUAACUUCUCUAUUGAUGUUCUAAUUCUUAUUUAAUUUUUCCUUUAUGUAUGACAGAAAGAAAGAAUUUAGUGUCAUAUCCUAGCUGGCCAAAGGAGAAGUCCCUCCACACAUGCAUACAUGGUCAGGAAGAGAAAUCAAUAAUGUGGAUGUUUAAACCCCCUCACCCCAGUCGUGGGCGGAUGUUUAAACCCCCUCACCCCAGUCAUGGGCGGAUGUUUAAACCCCCUCACCCCAGUCAUGGGCGGAUGUUUAAACCCCCUCACCCCAGUCGUGUACCACAGUUUCGCUGGGCCCCCCCGCAAGGUCUGAGCAAGGUCUGAGCAAGGUCUGAGCAAGCCCCCCCCUC
rnacentral:lncRNA from 1 species